rnacentral:lncRNA from 13 species
UUAUAAUCUAUAAAAGUCUCUGCAUAAUUGUAUCUUGAUUAAAAUGGUAUAAUUAGGUGCUCUGGAUCUCUUUCCCCUUUCCCUAAGAUUAUUUCUGUCUAAUUGCUUUAAUCUGUGUUUUCAUGCACCCACUAGAAAAUCAAAGCAUGCUCCCAUGAGGAUGCGGGUGAGAGUGAAUAAAGCUGACGACUCAUUAAGUGCAGCAGAGAGAGGAAACUGCAUCUAAAUCACCACUACAUUAACGAGCUCAAGUGUAAUUCCCACCCACUGCAGUGCAGGGAGGCUGAUUUGUGCCCCAGAUGUGACUGAAGAACUUUGUCACCAAGCUGUGCACAGCACUGUUUACUUUCAGUAGUGCUGAGCAGCCCAGACAGGGCACUCUACUGGUGCAGCCACUUUCUUUGGUGACCUGGAGCUCUGCACUGUGUGGCACAGAUGUGGUUGGUGAUCCAGCUGCCCAAGACAUGGAAGGCGAAGUCGUUCGCAAUGAAUCCAUGGCAGCUUCGAUCGAGCGGUGAGCUGGAGCACCUACUCACAGGCCACUCCUUCAUGUGACUGAACAGAGACCUUUCCCAGCACUUGCCAAGGAGAGCAGAGCCCUGGAUUUACCUCCUGCGCACCCGGGCACCCCCAGCGCAGGCACUGUGAGAUUCCAGUGACAGAUGGAUCUCUCUCGUGCACACUUGCUCUUUCCCUCUCUGUAUUUUUGUUUUCGACAUGUUUGAUCCAAAGCUCUGAAGCAUCUCAGAGGGAACCCAGGAAAGAAGGAAGAGAAGGAGUAGAAACCAAGGGAGCGUGAGCGACGCAGGAGGCAGCCCUGCCUUGUUCUUCCAAAUCACAUUGUGGAGGGUUGGGGGAAGACUACAGGGGGGAGGACUUGGGUUUGUUUUGGGGUGGGUUUG